GGAUAGCUCAGUUGGUUAGAGUGUGGUGCUGAUAACACCAAGAUUGCAGGUUUCAUCCCUGUAUGCGACA